GGUACUUUUGGUGUGACUGACCUAUCACUCCUGUUUAAAGAAGUGCAACAGCAUGAGAAGCAAAUAGUGCUGGUAGCACAUGGAAAUUGAGAACUGUGCGAAAGUUUUCUACAAACAGUGAAGGACAGCCGGUUUUUCACCUAUGUGGCUGGAAAGCUAAAACACAAUGGCGACCAUCAUACAAAAUAAAAAUGGAUCAGCUAAAUUGAAGGCUCUUUGAGUGAAAUCCAGUUAAGUUUCAUAGUAGAGACUAUCCUUUUCAAGUGGGGAAUCGCACAGUAAACCAAACCUGACAACUUGACAACCUGUCUAUGCCAGACAACACCACAUUGUGUGGGAAUGGAUUCCACCAGCUGCAGCCUACCUUAACAGGAACAUAUGACGUCUAUGGCCUGCGACCAUUAUAAUGUAAUGUUUCUAAAAUUUAUAACUAAUAUCUGAUGCUGCUCAGCUUGUCUUCUUGAAAUGACUUUAUGCUUGUGUGAGUAAAUGUGUUAAAUAACGUAUGGUUAAGAAAUAUAUUGUGUAUAAUGUACUUUUACUUUAACCAAUGAAAUUUGUAAUGCAUUGUUUUAUUUUUACUUUGUCAUUCACAUUUCUGUUCAUAAUUGACCUAUUAAAUGUCUUCAAAGAUUAUGAAAAAGAGCGAUUUUGCUGCAGUGCUUGCAAUCUGCCCUGGAUUAGGAGAGAUGGAUGGAUAUUUUAUAUGAAAGCAAAUGUGUCCCAAUAUUCAAAUUAAAAUGUAUUAAUAAAAUGCUUUUUCAUUUUCAAAA